rnacentral:rRNA from 1 species
AUUGAACGCUGGCGGCAGGCCUAACACAUGCAAGUCGAGCGGAUGAAGGGAGCUUGCUCCUGGAUUCAGCGGCGGACGGGUGAGUAAUGCCUAGGAAUCUGCCUGGUAGUGGGGGAUAACGUCCGGAAACGGGCGCUAAUACCGCAUACGUCCUGAGGGAGAAAGUGGGGGAUAUUCGGACCUCACGCUAUCAGAUGAGCCUAGGUCGGAUUAGCUAGUUGGUGGGGUAAAGGCCUACCAAGGCGACGAUCCGUAACCGGUCUGAGAGGAUGAUCAGUCACACUGGAACUGAGACACGGUCCAGACUCCUACGGGAGGCAGCAGUGGGGAAUAUUGGACAAUGGGCGAAAGCCUGAUCCAGCCAUGCCGCGUGUGUGAAGAAGGUCUUCGGAUUGUAAAGCACUUUAAGUUGGGAGGAAGGGCAGUAAGUUAAUACCUUGCUGUUUUGACGUUACCAACAGAAUAAGCACCGGCUAACUUCGUG